rnacentral:rRNA from 1 species
GCGCUAAUACAUGCAAGUCGAGCGGACAGAUGGGAGCUUGCUCCCUGAUGUUAGCGGCGGACGGGUGAGUAACACGUGGGUAACCUGCCUGUAAGACUGGGAUAACUCCGGGAAACCGGGGCUAAUACCGGAUGGUUGUUUGAACCGCAUGGUUCAAACAUAAAAGGUGGCUUCGGCUACCACUUACAGAUGGACCCGCGGCGCAUUAGCUAGUUGGUGAGGUAACGGCUCACCAAGGCAACGAUGCGUAGCCGACCUGAGAGGGUGAUCGGCCACACUGGGACUGAGACACGGCCCAGACUCCUACGGGAGGCAGCAGUAGGGAAUCUUCCGCAAUGGACGAAAGUCUGACGGAGCAACGCCGCGUGAGUGAUGAAGGUUUUCGGAUCGUAAAGCUCUGUUGUUAGGGAAGAACAAGUACCGUUCGAAUAGGGCGGUACCUUGACGGUACCUAACCAGAAAGCCACGGCUAACUACGUGCCAGCAGCCGCGGUUAAUA